rnacentral:misc_RNA from 1 species
AUUUUGAGCACCUGCGCAAUGCUAAGUUCUGUCUUGCUCCUCGUGGAGAGUCAUCUUGGACACUUCGUUUUUACGAGUCAUUUUUUGUGGAGUGUGUACCAGUUAUACUAUCGGAUCAGGUUGAAUUGCCUUUCCAGAACGUAAUUGACUACUCCCAGAUCUUAAUAAAAUGGCCAUCAAGCGAAAUAGGCCCUCAAUUGUUG